GGUCUUAGAGGGACGCCAUAGAAGGUAUGGGAAGCAUUAAUUACCUCUCAGAUGACGGUUAACUAAAGGACCUGAUUUCAGAGAUGUAGAGAAAAUAUUACCAGAGGUUUUAUAGACUUUAUUUCCUGUGCAACUAUGGAGGGUUUUGUCGACUCUUGUCCUCAAAACCUCACAGAAGCUAUAAAUGCCUCUACAAGACUUGGUUGUGGUCGUGAUAAGUAUGGUAAUGAUCAGUAUAUAUGUCUCCCGAACAUAGAGAAAAGUGGUCUGGUAGAAUUAUGUCACGAUGGAAUUAUGGGUAUAAUACAAAGAGGAUACUGUUUGGAGACGACGGAGAGAAAACUCUUUCAAAGUAACUGCUCAGGGUUUUUAGAAGGCUGUCCAGAUGAUCCUUACAGGAGCAAUGAGAAUUACAAUUAUCCUGCUUGUCAACAAAUUAACACACAAUACCAAUGCUAUCUUGCCGAUCCUUCGUGUUCAAUAACAACACAUAGCUUAGAUCUUGGCGUGUUUAACACUACGACAAUAAAUAAUCAAACAGCCAAAUCCAGGAGUACGACUCCGCCAACAUUGGUGCAAUAGGAGGAGGAGUGUGUGCUGGAGUGAUUGUCCUCCUCCUCUUGUUCCUAGGAGUUCUUCUAUGGAGAAGAAAACAUACGUGGAAAAGAAAAAGGGAAUGUGGCCCUGAGUGUGACAUAAAUGAAAAAUACACCGAUAGCGUUCAUGAAUUUUCAUGUAGUGCUCCAUUGCUAUCAACUAAUACUACUGGAGAUGGAGGAGAAAGGAUAUCAGAAACAGGCGAACUAGAGGAGGGGAAGCACGUUUUCACAAAGACUAAUGUAGCAAAGAAAGUCUAUGAGGCCAUAGAAGCUGAUAUAAGUAGUAAACAAGAGAAAAAAACCAAUGAUGUCACAGAGGCUGGCGUUAAAAGUAAUCCAGAGGAAAAAAUCUACGGUGUCAAAGAGGCUGGCGUUAAUAGUAAACCUGGGAAUAUAUCCCAUUGUGACAUAGAAACAGAUGAAAAUAGUAAACCAGAAGAAACAGUUUCUGGUUUACAAAAUAUUGGAAUCAAUAGUGAACCAGAGGAAAAAGAGCACGAUGAUAUCAAUACUAAAUCAGAAAAAAGAAGCCAUGGUAACACGAAGGCUAAUGUUAAUAAACCAGAAGGAAAGAAAAU